rnacentral:rRNA from 1 species
UACGUAGGGUGCGAGCGUUGCCCGGAAUUAUUGGGCGUAAAGAGCUCGUAGGCGGUGUGUCGCGUCGGCCGUGAAAACCUGGGGCUCAACUCUGGGCGUGCGGUCGAUACGGGCAUCACUUGAGUUCGGCAGGGGAGACUGGAAUUCCUGGUGUAGCGGUGAAAUGCGCAGAUAUCAGGAGGAACACCGGUGGCGAAGGCGGGUCUCUGGGCCGAUACUGACGCUGAGGAGCGAAAGCGUGGGGAGCGAACAGG